rnacentral:rRNA from 1 species
UACGGAGGGGGCUAGCGUUGUUCGGAAUCAUUGGGCGUAAAGAGCGUGUAGGCGGCCCGGUAAGUCCGCUGUGAAAGUCGGGGGCUCAACCCUCGAAUGCCGGUGGAUACUGUCGGGCUAGAGUGCGGAAGAGGCGAGUGGAAUUCCUGGUGUAGCGGUGAAAUGCGCAGAUAUCAGGAGGAACACCGAUUGCGAAGGCAGCUCGCUGGGACGUUACUGACGCUGAGACGCGAAAGCGUGGGGAGCAAACAGG